GGUGUUUUGGCUGUUAGGCUAAGUUUGGUGAUGUUGGCCUCCCUAAGGAUUUUUCACCCUCUCACAAGGUGUGUCCAAUAAACAGUACAGUCACUGAUCUUUGUCAACUUUUUAAGAAAAUAACAGAAUAUGAAGAAGGAAGACUAUAUAUAGGAUCGAUCUACUUCAUAACUGGAAAAAGAGAAGCAGUUCACAAAUGUUGAUGAGCAGAAGACAAGAAACUCUGGCUGCACAAAAAUCUGAGCUCUUGAAAAAGAAAGAAAAAAAGAAAUGAAAAUAUGAAUGAUAUUCAAUCAAAGGAUCCAAAUGAUGAAAUUCUGGAAAUUCCACAUGGAGAGACAAUAAGGAUUUUUGAAUUGACCAUCUCUGCUCAAACUGCUUGAAAGCACUGAAAACUGUUACCCUGGUGCUGAACAAACUUUUCUCCUAGACUGGAAUUAAAAACUGUUCAAUUUCUGGCAUUAAAACACAAUUUGAAACAUGCUGAGGAUUAGGAUCCCCCUCUCCUUUUGACCAAGUAAGGUUAAACAUUCUGCAAAGAGUUGCAUUUGAAUUGAAAUUUUUUAUACUUUUACCAGGAAUGAACUACAUUUCUCAUUUACUAUGGUUUAAUGUGUCAGAAUUGUCUAUUUUAAGUUUUUUAACAAAGAUUUUGUUGCCAUGGUUGGAAAACAAACAACAUUUCUGUGACAUCUUUCAAGAUGCUGUAUUAUAAAAUCAUCUAC